rnacentral:rRNA from 1 species
UACGGAAGGGGCAAGCGUUGUUCGGAAUUAUUGGGCGUAAAGGGCGCGUAGGUGGUCCUGUAUGUCUGCCGUGAAAGCGCGCGGCUCAACCGCGUUCCGUCGGUAGAAACUGCAAGACUAGAGGCUGGGAGGGGCUGGUGGAAUUCCCUGUGUAGCGGUGAAAUGCGUAGAGAUGGGGGAGAACACUCGUGGCGAAGGCGGCCAGCUGGACCAGUUCUGACACUGAGGCGCGAUAGCGUGGGGAGCAAACAGG